UGAAAAAGACCGGGUUUGGAAUGUUAAGACCAGGUGUGGUGGGCGAGGAUGCUCGUCACUAAAACACAACCAGUAGAUUUCUAGCGAGGACACACCUUUAAAGGGGAAGGGGGAGCUCGUGGGGAAGGCUCGGGGAAGGAUGCAUGGAUAUGUUACUACACCCCGUCCCGAUAAACUGGAUAUUCCAUUUUGAUGAACCGAAGUGGAGGAGAUUUUCCAGGCGCUCCAACUUAAGGGGGAAACGGGGACCGACAUUGCUAUCUGAAGAAGUAGAGUAAUUGAUGCAAAAUGUGUUUUAUCUGGGAACAACGGCAGAAAAAGAGAGGAAUUCUAACUCCAGAAGGUCAGUCUAACCGGAGCGCAUGCGCAAAGCCUGAGGGUUGGGUAAAAGGGUACAUGGGUAACGUUACCUUUUUUAAAAAGAAAGUCCAUAUAGUGUAUGAUAACUUAAGAAAUCAUUCUCAAUGCUAUGAAAACGCUAACAUAUUAAGUGUUUAUCAAGCUAAACAUUGGAAUGCCGAAGCAGGGAACAACGCGUAAGAGCGUGACCUAUGACCUUUCUGUUUCGCGCCAAGGCUGCUCAGCGGUAUCACAGAAAGCUGUCGCGAUAGAUAAAGUUCUUCAAGGAUUUGUUCGGCCGAGCUUCGUUACUAUGUUACGAACCAAGUCACAGUUACUAUCUUACGGUCGUAAACUGGCUUUGAGACUUCACAGUUGGAAAUUAACACCAGGCGUGGUGACAGCAUGUGGCAGGCUGACUGAACCCCAUAUGGACGCCCCUCGCUGCUCUGAGUGCUAAACGCCACCAGAUGCGAUCAGAAAUACAGCUGGACUCUCCCAUGUCUCCAAGCAGAUGCUGGGAUGGAAGACACAGUUAUUUUCUGACUUCCUGUUCAGUCUUCAGACAGCUACCCACUGUGGUCUACAGUCUUAUGUUCCUGUCCUGAUCCAAUACAGAUGGAGCUUCGGGAAAGUGACUGUCAGUUCCCCAAUUAACAGAAACUGCCAUGGAUGAUGGACAAAAACCCUGGAAUAUUCUGAAGAUGGAGCACAUGCCUCUCCUGGAAAAGGGACUGCCAGCUCCAUACCAAUGGAAACUUUCCAAUGAAGCAGCUGUGGACUAAUGACACAAGGCCCAGGAAAGUUCGGCAAAGGACAGUUCUUCCCUUUCCCAAUGCUUGUUUCAAUGUUUUUUUUUUGUGUGUGUGUGUGUGUGCUUGUGUCAAUGCGAUGUGCAUGUAUGACUGCAUGUGUGUGUGUGCUUGUGUCAAUGCGCGUGUGCAAGUAUGACUGCAUGUGUGUGUGUGGGGGGGGGGUCAUUACACUAGUCUUUGCACCUGUCAAUAGUUGUAAAUUAAAUGCACGAUGUUUCAUCAGUCUGAAACUGUUUGUAUUGUGUAUUUGUAAGUAUUGCACCUGUCAAUAGUUUUAAAUUAAAUGUACACUUUGUCCAGUCUUGAAGUGUGUGGUGGGUGUGUGUGGGUGGUCGUGUGUAUGUGUGUGUAUUUGUCAUUAUGUCAGUGUGUGUCUGUAUUUUUGUCAUUAUAUCAGUAUGGAGGUAUUGCACUUGUCCAUAGUUGCAAGUUAGAUACACAGUUUGUCCAGUCUUGAAGUGUGUGUGUGGUGUGUGUGUGUGUGUGUAUUUGACAUCAUGUCAGUGUGUGUGUGUGUAUAUUUUUGUCAUUAUAUCAGUAUGGAGGUAUUGUACCUGUCCAUAGUUGCAAGUUAAAUACACAGUUUGUCCAGUCUUGACAUGUUAUUGUAAGUAUGACACCUGUCCAUAGUUGCAAAUGAAAUAAACAUUGUUUGUCCAGUCUGACUCUCAGUGUUUGUUGUAUUGUCAUGCGCCAUGCGUGUGUGCAUAAGUACAUGUAUGUAUAUUUGUGACUGCACAUACUAGUAUGCAUGUGUGUUUGUGUGCACAGGUGUGUUUGUGUGUAUGGGCGUAAAUGUAUGUGUCCACUAUGUAUCCGUGUUGUCCACUAUGUAUAAGUGUAUUUGACAUUAUGUCAGUGUGUGUGUGUGUGUGUGUAUUUUUGUCAUUAUAUCAGUAUGGAGGUAUUGUACCUGUCCAUAGUUGCAAGUUAAAUACACAGUUUGUCCAGUCUUGAAGUGUUUGUAUUGUGUAUAUGCAAGUACAAUGUAUUGUACCUGUCAAUAGUUUUAAAUUAAAUGCACACUUUGUCCAGUCUUGAAGUGUGUGUGUGGUGGGUGGUGUGUGUGUGUGUGUGUGUGUGUGUGUGUGUGUGUU